rnacentral:rRNA from 1 species
AUAGCUCACUAGUCGAGUGACCCUGCGCCGAAAAUGUACCGGGGCUAAAUAGUUUACCGAAGCUGUGGAACACACCAAUGGUGUGUUGGUAGGAGAGCGUUCUAAGGGCGUUGAAGGUAGAUCGUGAGGACUGCUGGAGCGCUUAGAAGUGAGAAUGCCGGUAUGAGUAGCGAAAGACAGGUGAGAAUCCUGUCCACCGAAUGACUAAGGUUUCCUGGGGAAGGCUCGUCCGCCCAGGGUUAGUCGGGACCUAAGCCGAGGCCGAAAGGCGUAGGCGAUGGAUAACAGGUUGAUAUUCCUGUACCCGUUGUUUUUGUUUGAGCAAUGGAGGGACGCAGGAGGCUAAGGAAUCAGACGAUUGGAAAUGUCUGUCCAAGCAAUGAGUCUUGAUGUGAGUCAAAUGCUUACAUCUCUAAGGACAAGUUGUGAUGGGGAGGGAAAUAAUAGUACCGAAGUUCCUGAUGUCACACUGCCGAGAAAAGCUUCUAGUGAGAAAACAAUGGCCCGUACCGCAAACCGACA